AUGUUCACCAGGAAAAUACUUUCAGAGAAAUGGAAUGGCGUAAGAAAUUCAGUCCACGGCAUCGACGAUGGACGGAACCGUCGAUUUAAUCCGUCAUUUUUCUCUUCUUUGGAAAAAUUCCCACUGACCGACGGAUCGAUCGAUCGGCGCGUUUGUGCAGCACACCACGGUAGAAAAGAUCUCCUCGAACUGGUUGAGCCGAACCAUUCCCCCCCUCCCCUCUCCCCCACCCUCUCUCCCGCACCCAGACCUAGCCACCACCAAUGUCAGCGGCGCCGCCGCCGCCCCGCCGCCGGACGAGGUCCCCCUCCGCCUCCCGCCCGAUGGCCCAGUACGCCUCCUCCGCGCCUCCAUGGUCCGCAAGACCUGGAGCCACACCGUCUCGCAACCGGGAUUCCGACGCCGCCUCCGCGAGCUCCACCCGGCACCCCCCGCGCUCGGGUUCCUCCACAACCGGGCCGACGAGCGCAGCCCCUGCUUCAUCCCCACCGCCGCCUCGUCCUUCUCCCUCGUCGCCCCGGACCGCCGCUUCCGGCGGGCCCCCGGCUGCCGCCACGGCCGCGCACCCCUUCCUCUGCAAGGACGGGUGCGACCACCUCGUCCUCGACUGCCUCGCGGGCCCUUUCCGCGUGGUCUUCCUCUUCGCCGUGGAGGAAGGCACCGACAACGACGCGUAUGCUCGUCGGAGACUGGCGGCUGGGGCGAGCUUCCCUCGAUGCGCUGCCAAGGCGAGUUCUCCAUGGAAUUCGCAGAACAUCCCAGCGUUCUCGUUGGCAGGUCUCUGCUCUACUCCAUGUCCACGGGGACAGUGCGUCGAUCGUGGAUCAUGACCUGGGAAGCCGCGACAUGACUCGGUUCGGCCCACCAGACAAGUACUACAAGCACGGAUGCUGUCAAGGAUGGGGAUUUUGUCAACGCCUUUGA
rnacentral:rRNA from 1 species